AGCGUCGUUAAAGACCAUAAGGCUUUGCCUUGCGAUGAGCUUCUGACAGUCUCUUCGGAGAAGCCAGUUGCUUCAAACUUAUUGGCGUCUGAAGUUAGCCAAGCACAGCAAAAUGUGUUUUGAGUCUUGCGAACGAUUGCCCGUACCCAAAUUAUAUAUUGGUCGACCUCGGAUCAGGCAAGAUUACCCGCUGAACUUAA
rnacentral:misc_RNA from 1 species